rnacentral:rRNA from 1 species
GAUGAACGCUGACAGAAUGCUUAACACAUGCAAGUCUUUGGCGAAGCUGUGCUUGCACCGCCUAGCCAAGGCGGACGGGUGAGUAACGCGUAAGGAACUUGCCCUGCAGUCAGGGAUAACAGACGGAAACGACUGAUAAGACCUGGUAAAGUCAGGCGGACUCAUGUCCAGCCUGAUGAAAAGAGAUGCUGCAGGAGAGCCUUGCGUCCUAUUAGCUUGUUGGUGGGGUAACGGCCCACCAAGGCGAUGAUAGGUAGCCGGCCUGAGAGGGUGGACGGCCACAAGGGGACUGAGAUACGGCCCUUACUCCUACGGGAGGCAGCAGUGGGGAAUAUUGGACAAUGGGGGCAACCCUGAUACAGCAAUUCUGUGUGCACGAUGAAGGUUUUCGGAUUGUAAAGUGCUUUCAGCAGGGAAGAAAAAAAUGACGGUACCUGCAGAAGAAGCGACGGCUAAAUACGUG